AUUGAACGCUGGCGGAAUGCUUUACACAUGCAAGUCGAACGGCAGCACGGGGCAACCUGGUGGCGAGUGGCGAACGGGUGAGUAAUAUAUCGGAACGUGCCCAAUCGUGGGGGAUAACGUAGCGAAAGUUACGCUAAUACCGCAUACGAUCUACGGAUGAAAGCGGGGGAUCGCAAGACCUCGCGCGAAUGGAGCGGCCGAUAUCAGAUUAGGUAGUUGGUGGGGUAAAGGCUCACCAAGCCAACGAUCUGUAGCUGGUCUGAGAGGACGACCAGCCACACUGGAACUGAGACACGGUCCAGACUCCUACGGGAGGCAGCAGUGGGGAAUUUUGGACAAUGGGCGCAAGCCUGAUCCAGCCAUUCCGCGUGCAGGAUGAAGGCCUCGGUUGU
rnacentral:rRNA from 1 species